rnacentral:rRNA from 1 species
UACGUAGGGCGCAAGCGUUGUCCGGAUUUAUUGGGCGUAUAGAGCUCGUAGGCGGUCUGUCGCGUCUGCUGUGAAAACUCAGGGCUUAACCCUGAGCUUGCAGUGGGUACGGGCAGACUAGAGUGCGGUAGGGGAGACUGGAAUUCCUGGUGUAGCGGUGAAAUGCGCAGAUAUCAGGAGGAACACCGGUGGCGAAGGCGGGUCUCUGGGCCGUAACUGACGCUGAGGAGCGAAAGCAUGGGGAGCGAACAGG